UGGCCAACUAUUCAAAAUAACGCGAUAUAGGAAAUGGAAGGGCAGUGAAAUGGCAGAAAUAGAAGAGGGUGGUGAGGAAACUCAAAGGAACCGCAGAACAAACUGAGAAAGACAACAACACAGAUCUGUUGGUAAUGUUGGAGAACGCAACAUAAACCCUCCAAAAAGACAGAAAUUUGACAGAGAGAAUUAGUGAACUGCUGCGAGUGUUACUCAGGUGCGUUCUGCAUAAAUCGUGACCUAGAAAUCAAUAUAAUUUUUUUGUUCGAUUUCACACGAGCCUAAGAAAAAACGAUUCUACAUGCAAGGUAACUAGGUCCGAGGGUGUGAAUCCAAAAAUCGUCUUAGGAUGUCUGAAAAUUAUAGAGAAGAACCUAGCUUAGUUCUCAAUUCAUGCCAAAACAUGACCAGUAGGAUGAAUGCAUAUUUAGCAUUUGCGUUAAAUAAUGUAUAAUGGCUAAAUGAAUUUUGAAAAUGAGGGGAAUAUUUAUGAUGCUGAAUAAAAAUAAUUAAGGCCAAAAUGUUCUUGUGCCCCAAAGUAGAGUAAGACAGUGGGAUGCAAAGAGAGACCAGAAUUUGAGAUAACUAUUAGAGAUGGUAUGCAAAAGCUAGGGCUGCAGCGAAAGGGGCUUCCAUCACAGAGCAGAUCGGAGGAGACAUGGAGGCAAAGGAAAGCACGAAACGGGAAUGAGAAAGUUUCAGGUUAUUGUGGAGCUCAAUUGUUCUCUGCAAACUUACUUGAAUGUGCAGGUUUUAUCAAUCUGUGUUACAAGUGUACAGCCAUAAACACUUUGAAUCCUAACACACCAACUAAAAUGCUGUCUAAAAGAAAGCCCCCUUACAGAUUCCCGUUCAUUCCUGUGUCUGUCCUUGUCAUAUGCCUCUCCUUCUUGUUGUUGUUCUAUUACUAUGCGAAACCUAGUUCUCAGAUCUCUAGAUUGUCCAAUAUUUCAACAUCUCAUACCCCUCAAUGCUCCAGCCAAGCCCUUACCUUAGGGGAGAAAUUCAUGUGGUAUGCACCUCACAGCGGGUUCAGCAACCAACUUUCAGAGUUCAAGAAUGCUAUUCUAAUGGCUGGUAUACUGAAUCGAACUUUGGUGGUUCCUCCUAUUAUGGAUCACCAUGCUAUUGCUUUAGGUAGCUGUCCAAAGUUUCGGGUUGUAGAUCCAAAGGAUAUUCGGAUAUCUGUUUGGGAUCAUGUGAUUGAGCUUGUCCAAAGUCGAAGGUAUAUAUCCAUUGCUGAAAUCGUUGACAUCACAUCAUUAGUUUCUUCCUCUCUUGUUCGAGUGAUUGAUCUUAGGGAUUUUGUGUCGAUAUGGUGUGGCAUCAGCUUAGAUUUGGCUUGCAUAACAGAUACAAAGUUGCAUUCCUCUGUUUCUAAAAGCCUUAACCAAUGUGGAUCUCUGCUAGCUGGGCUCCAUGGUAGUAUUGAAAAGUGUAUAUAUGCUGUCAAUGAGGAUUGCAGAACUACAGUAUGGACUUACAAUGAAGAUGGGCAUGGAGACGGUAUGUUAGAUUCAUUUCAACCCGAUGAAAAACUGAAGCAGAAAAAGAAAAUAUCAUAUGUUAGAAGACGGAAGGAUGUAUUUAAGACUCUAGGACCUGGUUCUGAAGCUGAAUCAGCCUCACUGCUGGCAUUUGGAACCCUUUUCUCUGCCACAUACAAAGGUUCUGAACUAUAUGUGGAUAUCCGUGAGUCUAAUCAGAAUCAGAGAUUUCUAUCUCUGAAGGAGAAGACUAAACUUCUUUCCUUUGUCCCAGAAAUUUUGAUAGCUGGAAAGGAGUUUUCUAAACAAAGCAUAAGGGCUCCAUUUCUUUGCGCACAACUUAGAUUGUUGGAUGGGCAGUUUAAGAAUCAUCAAAAGGCUACAUUUCAAGGAUUAAGGCAAAAACUAGAAUCUUUAAGGAAGGAAGGCCCUCUACCAAUUCAUAUUUUUAUAAUGACUGAUCUUCCUGGAGAUAAUUGGACUAAUACUUAUUUAGGUGAUUUAGUUAGUGAGAAUCACAAGUAUAAGUUAUACUUUUUGAAAGCGAAUGAUAAGCUGAUUAAGCGAGCAGCUAUAAAGCUCAUGACAGCUGGUCAUGGGCAGAGGUUCCUAUCAAAUUCAUAUAGUACAAUUGGUAAAAAAUAUUGUUCCAGUCAGAGAUUGCCAGAUUUACUUCUUUAUGUUGAGCAGACUGUAUGCAGCUGCGCAUCUCUAGGUUUUGUUGGAACACCUGGGUCAACAAUUGCAGAAAACAUAGAACUCAUGAGAAAAUUUAGCUCAAGUUCUCAGAGAUGUUGAUGGUUUUGUGGAAAAGCAGUUAAUGCUGAUAGGGGUUUUAGGAUUGAUGAGGUGGGAGUUCAAUCAUGUUUGUACUAGAAGAUGGUUGAAUACGCCAUGUUCUGAGAUAUCCUUUCCUCAAAUUUUGAUGAUUCGUCAGCUUUGCGAGGCAACAGUCAUUUUUAGGAGAUUGACACUCUACAGUCAAGAGCAUUGUUGUUAUUUUAGUGUACUAAAUUGUCGUUGUUUGGAUCAUAACAUGUUCUUUUGCCUCCCCAACUAGCCCACCCACUUUUCCCCCUUCUGUCUUGAGUUGGAGUGGAGCUGGUGUCACCUUGUUUAUGACUCUACAAUGGCUCCAAUGCCUGAGACACUACACGUUAAGCUGCAGUGAGCUUGAGGCGUGCUGAUUUACAAAAGUAUGAAUGUGUAGUUCCUUCUGAAUUAUAAAAUACUGACUGAGGAUUUGUUUGGAUACUGAAUUUUCUUUCUCCUUUCCUUCUACAUAGAUCUCGAGUGUUGUGGAAUAUGGUUUGGUUUGAAGCAAACCAUGCCAGUUUCCACCGAUUAGAAAUCAAAUGACAUUGUUUAUGACAUCAACUCUGUUCAAUAUUCUGUAAGAAGAGUGUUACUAUUGAAAGGAACGGACGCGUAAUAAAUAAUACCCCUUUUAAUUAA